rnacentral:rRNA from 1 species
GAUGAACGCUGGCGGCGUGCCUAAUACAUGCAAGUCGAGCGAACGGACGAGAAGCUUGCUUCUCUGAUGUUAGCGGCGGACGGGUGAGUAACACGUGGAUAACCUACCUAUAAGACUGGGAUAACUUCGGGAAACCGGAGCUAAGACCGGAUAAUAUUUUGAACCGCAUGGUUCAAAAGUGAAAGACGGUCUUGUUGUCACUUAUAGAUGGAUCCGCGCUGCAUUAGCUAGUUGGUAAGGUAACGGCUUACCAAGGCAACGAUGCAUAGCCGACCUGAGAGGGUGAUCGGCCACACUGGAACUGAGACACGGUCCAGACUCCUACGGGAGGCAGCAGUAGGGAAUCUUCCGCAAUGGGCGAAAGCCUGACGGAGCAACGCCGCGUGAGUGAUGAAGGUCUUCGGAUCGUAAAACUCUGUUAUUAGGGAAGAACAUAUGUGUAAGUAACUGUGCACAUCUUGACGGUACCUGAUCAGAAAGCCACGGCUAACUACGUG